rnacentral:lncRNA from 9 species
AGCUCUAAGCUGCCCCAGGUCUGCAAGUAAGUUCCUGCUUGUCACACAUUCCACACUUCUACACUGAAGUCAAAUAUUUUUUCAGUUUAUGGAUUUUUUCCCCCUUCUAUUAGUGCCUGUAUUAGUUUUCAAAGGCUGCUUGAAGAAAUUUGAAUACGUGAAAAUGUAUUUCUGCAAGCUAGAAGACAGAAGUUUGAAAGGCUAGAGAUGGAAUCGGAGCUGCAGCUGCCAGCCUGUGCCAUAGCCACAGCAAUGCUAGAUGAGCUGCAUCUGUGACCUGUGCCACAGCUUGCUGCAACACUGAAUACUUAACCCACUGAGUGAGACCAGGGAUUGAACCUGCAUCCUUGAGGACACUAUGUUGGGUUCUUAACCUGCUCAGCCACAACGUGAACUCCACCAAUGGAGGAAGUCUGAAAGGUUGAACAUUAAUCUUAAAUACUGAGCAAUUAGUAAGAGUUUAAGAGACUGAGAAACCAGUAUUUGACUGAAUCCAGCUUGCCUCCAUGAGCCUUGGCUACAUUGCUGUCCUGGCUUGAAAUGCGGGUGUGUGAUAGGAAUGUCGUCAUCACCAAGAACAUGAGGAAAAUAAACAUAAAGGGAAAACCCAUUCUUCAACAUACAAGAUUUCUAGGAUCAUCUCCCUCAGUUCUUUUAACGGAGUGUUAAUAUAAUCCUAAAUCUGGGCGUCAGUUGGACAGUCUCACGUGGGCACUGGCACAUCAACAACAAGACAUGGAAACAACCUAAAUCUCCAUCAAUAGAUGAAUGGAUAAAGAAGAUGUGGUAUAGAUAUACAAUGGAAUAUUACUCAAUCAUAAAAAUAAGGAAAUAAUGCCAUUUGCAACAACAUGGAUGAACCUAGAGCUUCUCAUAUUAGGUGAGGUUUCCCCUUUCCCAGCCUCUCGUGGACCAGCGUUGCCAGCUGAAGGAAGGUUGUGAAUCUGCAUCCCAGCCCAUUAGUCCUUCUCCUGAUUCCCGUGAUGAGUUCACCAGUGCAGCCUGGUCAGUUUGGUUGUUUCUUAAGCUAUUAACAGAUGUAAUAUGAAAGAUGUUGCUUUGUGUUGCUUCAAACCAAGCAAUUUAACUUAUGAAAGGACUUUUUAUUCUGAUGAGGAUGUGUGGAUACAAUGAAUUUUGAAUUUUGUGUUCUAUAGCUAAUCCUUUGUUAUGUAACCAUCUUGCUUUCCAGGCAAUUAAUUUCAUUUGAAUUAUUAUCUGAGCACUGGGCUUUAGUUCUUCUGCUAAUGUAACAUUUGGAUUGAAUUUUAUGAAGUUAUAAAUAUUUAUUAAAUAUGUUGUAGGCAUCUAAUUCAUAUCCAUAGUCUUUCUGAGUCCGUGUCUGUAUGUUUUAAAUUGUGUCAUAGGCUUUGGAUAUCAGCUUGUGGACUCAUUUUCCUCCUCCUUCUCUUUGACACACAGGAAGGAUAUUUCUCCUCCCUGCCCUUCUUUGCUGCCACUCCUGUUUCCUACAUACAUGUUUAAUUAUAAUCUCAGCACCUGCUUCCUCUGAGUCCAGUGUAAUGUGUGGCUCAUGUAGUGUUGUGAUAAGCACAGCCAACACCCAUUUCUCCAGGAACAGGGUGUCACUUUGGGAACAAACACAAUCCAAGUCUUAAAAAUGAUGGAGUAGUUUCAGAUAUCAUAUGUUAAACAUAGAGAAAUUUAAAAAGAAUUUUCUGUUUGAAUCAUUGUAGGAGUAUUUAUUUCUAUAUAUUCUUUAAAAAAAAAUCUCUCAGCACGUUGGUAUCUUUGAGUUAUCCAACUCCUGAGGUUGAAGCUAAUGUAAUAUUUUAUUCAGAGUUUAUAAAGGGAAAUCUUUUGCCAAGAUUUUCAGUCUGUGGAGUGCCACACCCAGAUCAGCUGCUCUGGAAUUCCAAUGUCUCAUCAACCUUUCCCAGAGCUCCAACAGGCUGCCAGCUUGUAUGUUGAAUUUGGAACUGAAAGGUUUUGGCGCGUACAACUGUAAUUGUUGAUUCUAAAUGAUGUAGUAAAGAUAUUCCAGAAUCUUUCUUCACAAUCAUGAUUUAUAAUUGGCGUUGUCAUCUGAAUAAGCACAUGAAGAGUUACACAGGCCUCUUAUCUCUGAGUCCUUGCAGUGCAGUGUUUCUCCAACUUUAGCAUCACUGGGAGGGCUUGUUAAAAUCAAGCCCCAUUCUCAAAGUUUUUGAUUCAGUAGAUCUUAGGUGGGUCCCAGGAAUUGUGAUACUUAUAAGUUUCCCCCCGGUGAGGCUACUGCUGCCUGAGGACUACACUUUGGAAAGCACUGAUCUAGCUUGCUAGUCCCGUUCCUUCCUCCACCUCUGCUUGCCUCCAUCCUCUCCUCCCUCCACACCCCCACCCUUACAGGCAGCCCUCUGUGCAUUACUUAUCACAAUUAUGGUGUAUUAUUACUGUCCUUUCUAUUGAGUUGGACUUAAAAUGAUGUGUGUGUUUUAUAUAUGCAUAUAUUACAUUUAAAUAUACAUUAUAUAUUGAUUUGUAUAUAACUUUAAUGUUUCAAAAUUACAUAAUUUAAAAGAGGCAUUUAAUUUAGAACUACCAUAGUCAAACAUUUUUUUUUCUUGUGGUAGAAUAUGUUAGAGUCAUUAAAAACAUAUUACAAGCAAUUGGAACAAAUUGGCUAAGUAUGAAUGUGGCAGAAAAUUUCCUCCAUUUCUAAAGUUACUGUCUAAAAUUUAUAUAGGGGAUUGUCUUUAAUUGUAAAGGACAGAAACUAGACUUUUAUAAAAUUGUCCCUGUCCCUUUAUUCUCUGCCUUCCUCCCCCAUAUCCUGUCCACAUUGUUUACCUCCCAGUUUUACUUCACAGAAGAGUGGCAGGGCAGAUUGAACCAUGGGAAAAUGGAAUUUUUGACAGUGACAGCAACUGUAUCCAAGUGAAACAUUUGAAAUGGCAUUUCUAUGUAAUCAUUAAAUGGGUAAAAAGUGCAGAUACCCUUGAUGGUUGAAGGUUGAAGGAUGCAACUAUAUGGGGAAAUUUUGAAUCCAAAUUAUAAUUAAACCCAAUUUAUCAUACUUAACUAACUUGUAAAUAGUGCAAGUACAGCAAUUUCAGUGUCUAUAUGGUCUUUUUUUAGCAUCUUUCUAGGAUGUAUGGACUUGGACCCACUUAUUUUUUUCUUUCCUUUUUAAAUUUAAGUAUAAUUAAUGUAUAAUAAUAUUUAUUUUACAGGUUACAGUAUAAUGAGUCACAAUUUUUAAAGCUUAUACUCCAUUUAUAGUUAUUAUAAAACAUUGGCUAUAUUUUCUGUGCUGUAUAAUAUAUCCUUGUAGCUUAUUUUAUACGUAUUGGUUUGUACCUCUUAACCCCUUAACCCCAUAUUGCCCCUUCCCUCUUCCCUCUCCCCACUGGUAGCCAACUAGAUUGCUCUCUAUAUCCCUGAGUCUGUUUCUUUUUUGUUACAUUCACUAGUUUGUUGGGUUUUUUUUUAGAUUCCAUGUAUCUGUCUUUCUUUGCUUUGUUUCACUUAGCAUAAUACCCUUCCAGUCCAUUCAUCUGUUGCAUAUGGUAGAAUUUCACAAUGGACCCACUUAUUUUUAAUGCGAAACAUGUAAUACCAUUAGACACUAUCGUAAGUGGUUAGACUUCCAGUUUAACCCAUUGAACCCUACUUAAAGAUAACUACUUUGCAGUGAAUGAAUACAGAAAAAUUUUGACAGCCUUUGAAAAAGAGAAUCAAUACAAUGUAGUAAGGAAUAUUUAAAAAUUUUGCAUGUUUAGAGAAAAGUGGACCAAUUUGACAGGAAAACAAACAAGUGAGAAAAUUUGAUGGAGAUAGUUCAUGUGAACUAUGGGCACCUUAGAUCAUUUCUCAGAAGGAUCAGCAUUACUUCUAAUUUCAUUCUAAAAGUAAUGAUUUUGGGGAGGCCAGUGUUAGGGUGAUUUCACUAUUCCUUUUCUCAUCUUAUGUAUGGAACAGAGGGAGGGUAGAAGUGAGAUUUUCAUUGCUAACUACUUAAGAGAUAAAGUAUACUGGGAAAGAAAACUAUAGAAAUGGGGUGGGUGUGUGUGUGUGUGUGUGUGUGUGUGUGUGUGUGUGUGUAAAAUACAUGGUCAGAAGUAACAUUUACUGAACUUUGUGAGAUAAAGAAGAAAAGGAAAACAGAAGAGUGCAUGCAUCUAACGCUUAAGGGAGAAGAAGGAAACAUGAUUAAAGAGGAUUUGAGGUUAAAUAGAAAUCUUCUUGUCCAUGCAGUGUAUGUUGUUGGUUAUGUAGAAAGUGGCUGUGAAGUCAUGCUUCAAGGCGCAUGUGAAGACAGAGAUGUAUAUGUAUAGCUGUGUGUGUAUGUAUAGCUCAGCUUCUUAUGCUCAGGAUGAUAACAAUUUAUAGCAUUAUUUUAAAAUACAGAGUUCCUGUAUGUAAAUGGAAUACUUAAGAUGGUCAGAUACAUUGGACUUCUUUUCAAAAACACAAAGUGAAGUAAUACCAAAGACUUUGAUUAAUUCCACAUAUACCUGACACUGGCUCACAACUAGUAAUAUUUGACGGUUGCAAUCAGCAUACACUGACCCUGAGAAUGUUGAUUUUAUAAUUUGAAAAUGUCCUUUGAGGCUGCUAUUUUGAUGAGGAAGUUCUUGCUGGCCAUGAUACUUGUUCAGCUAGAAGAGGGAGUGAGAAAUGAGACAGCCACAAAGUGAAGCUCAUUUGACUUUUGAGUCAUUAAAAUUUCGUUAUGUACUUUCUUUCCUAUGCAUGAUUCUAGUCUGGUCUGUUGAGAACAGCAUUUUACAGAGGGUUUUUUUUUUUUUUUUUGGUCUUUUUGUCUUUUAGGGCUGCAGUCACAGCAUAUGGAGGUUUCCAGGCUAGGGGCAAUUGGAACUGUAGCCAACAGUCUACUCCAGAGCCAUAGCAACACUGGAUCCAAGCAGCAUCUGCGACCUACACCACAUCUCAUGGCAACGCUGGAGGCCAAGGAUCGAACCCACGUCCUCAUGGAUGCUAGUCAGGUUUGCUAACUGCUGAGCCAUGACAGGAACUCCUACAGCGGUCUUAACCAAUUGUGUUUGGGAAGUUUUUAUGAAUGAAGUCUGAACUGAAGAAAGUCAUAGCAAAUAGAUCAGGUGGGUAGGAAUCCUAUAUUUAUUGUAAGUACAAUCUAUGAUUAGAGACCUGAAAUGCAUUCUGCAUAUAAAAAGGAAAACGUUCUGGCCACAGGCAUUAAAACAUUCUUCUGCUACUAUUAGUGUGUAUCUUAUGAUGCCAUGUAUUUUCUACCGGUAAGAAAUAACCUAAUUGUUUGACUUAAAAAAAGGAUUUUUCUUACAUCUCCUUUUAAAAAAAAACUACGUAAAGGGAAUUAAAUCGACCUUGUGCAAUAAUCAUCCAUUUAUUUUGCUUUUGUUCCACGAGGGGCUCUAAAGAGUUAUUAUGCACCAGAAAAAGUAGACUUAACGUCGAUUGCUCCAGAAAUUCUUUAUAGUCAAUGUUUGAAAUAGAGUGGGUUUUUUGUUUUUUUUUUGAAACUUUUCUCUGGGAUAGUGUGAAGUCUUAUUUUCCCCAUGCAUUGAUCCCAUUCUCAUGAGAAUUUUAUCUCAAUAUUCAGCUAUAGUUGAUAUCAAGUACUAAAUAUUACUGUCUUGAUCAUGUGUUCAAUCAAACAAGAAGUACUGAUCUUUGAAUAUAGAAUUCACUGGUUUUUAUUUUGAUCUUGCUGCCCCAAGAAGGAUCUAAGUUAGAGUACUAGGUAUUGCUUUUGGACCCUGAGGAGCCUGAAUGGAGAGAAGACUAUAUGAAUAAGACUGGCAGCCAGCUGCUGCAAUUGAGAGUCAUUUAUUUAUUAUUUUAUUUUUUAAAUUACUCAACGAAUUUAUUACAUUUAUGGUUGUACAAUGAUCAUC